UGUAUUAAAAAAGAAGAUAAGAGAAUGCAAGUCAGGCCGCUUCAUGGAGAAAGAGAAACGGAUCAUAGAAGAACUGAAAAGUCUUCACUGUGAUCCCCAUCCAUUUUGUUCUGUGUAUCCCUCAGAAACCGACUUCACUUUUUGGAGGAUUGUCAUGAAAGGACCGCCUGAAACUCCCUAUGAGAAUGGAACCUUUGAGCUGUAUUGUCAUUUUGGCUGUGAUUAUCCAGUGAAACCACCUGUUGUCCGGUUCUAUACUCCUAUUUACCAUUGCAAACAUCAACAGUGUGGGAAGGAUUU